rnacentral:lncRNA from 1 species
CAUCUAUUUCCAUUCAUUCACAUGGAUGCCCUAACUACCUUUUUUGCUACCAAAAUCCAUCUCCAAUUCUUUUCUUUACAAGAUUUACACAAUAUAUGUCUUAAACACCAUAUAAAAGAAACAAAAUAAUACUUUAAAGGUCACCAAUAUCUAACAAAGGUGAUUGUAAAUAUUUAAAGAUUACUAUCAAUAAGAUUGUGAUUGUCGUUUUACUUAUUCCAGAAGAAACCUCCGAGAAUAAACCCAUAUAGGAGAAUUCGAACACAAGGAAAGACUAUGUAUAUGAGCUCCAAUUUUUAGGAUCACACAAUUAAUCGCUACUGCUGAAUGCUUACCAUACCAAAGAACACUUAACUUUUCUUCCUACUGUCCACUCUCUCAUAUCAAUACGAUAACAACCACAACAUCAAAUUCAAUACCCUGUGUAAUUCAUGAACACACAAGCAUAAUCCAAACCCUCAAAUGAACAACUUCCAAUCCACAGAAUCUGAUCGAGACAAUUCCUUCGAUUACAAUUCCUCUCCACUGAACUCACAACCUUGUGAUAAACAAUGACUGGAAACUUCCAUACAUCAUCAAUCUUUCACAAGAAUAAAUAAACAAUGAUCCAUAAAUAACUUCGUAAAUCAAACAUUGAUUCAUUAAAUCGAUUCUCUUCACUAGAAUCAACACUAACAUAAAAGAAACAAGAAAACUAAGAAGAAGAGAUAGCACCAAGCUUACCUCGGCUCAUGACUAUCACAGUUUGGCAUUUUCUUCUUCUCUCCCAUCUUCCUUAUACUACCCUGAGAUACCAACUCCUAUACUAUGGAUGAUAACUACUUUUCCUUACUAUUCAUCU